UGGGGAAUUUUGGACAAUGGGCGCAAGCCUGAUCCAGCCAUGCCGCGUGCGGGAAGAAGGCCUUCGGUUGUAAACCGCUUUUGUCAGGGAAGAAAUCUUCUGAGUUAAUACCUCGGGAGGAUGACGGUACCUGAAGAAUAAGCACCGGCUAACUACGUGCCAGCAGCCGCGGUAAUACGUAGGGUGCAAGCGUUAAUCGGAAUUACUGGGCGUAAAGCGUGCGCAGGCGGUUUUGUAAGACAGAGGUGAAAUCCCCGGGCUCAACCUGGGAACUGCCUUUGUGACUGCAAGGCUUGAGUGCGGCAGAGGGGGAUGGAAUUCCGCGUGUAGCAGUGAAAUGCGUAGAUAUGCGGAGGAAACACCGAUGGCGAAGGCAAUCCCCUGGGCCUGCACUGACGCUCAUGCACGAAAGCGUGGGGAGCAAACAGGAUUAGAUACCCUGGUAGUCCACGCCCUAAACGAUGUCAACUGGUUGUUGGGAAGGUUCCUUCUCAGUAACGUAGCUAACGCGUGAAGUUGACCGCCUGGGGAGUACGGCCGCAAGGUUGAAACUUAAAGGAAUUGACGGGGUCA
rnacentral:rRNA from 1 species